rnacentral:rRNA from 1 species
AGAGGCAGGCGGAAUGCGUGGUGUAGCGGUGAAAUGCAUAGAUAUCACGCAGAACCCCGAUUGCGAAGGCAGCCUGCUAGGGUGAAACAGACGCUGAGGCACGAAAGCGUGGGUAUCGAACAGGAUUAGAUACCCUGGUAGUCCACGCAGUAAACGAUGAAUACUAACUGUUUGCGAUACAAUGUAAGCGGUACAGCGAAAGCGUUAAGUAUUCCACCUGGGGAGUACGCCGGCAACGGUGAAACUCAAAGGAAUUGACGGGGGCCCGCACAAGCGGAGGAACAUGUGGUUUAAUUCGAUGAUACGCGAGGAACCUUACCCGGGCUUAAAUUGCACUCGAAUGAUCCGGAAACGGUUCAGCUAGCAAUAGCGAGUGUGAAGGUGCUGCAUGGUUGUCGUCAGCUCGUGCCGUGAGGUGUCGGCUUAAGUGCCAUAACGAGCGCAACCCCUAUCGACAGUUACUAACGGGUCAAGCCGAGGACUCUGUCGAGACUGCCGGCGCAAGCCGCGAGGAAGGUGGGGAUGACGUCAAAUCAGCACGGCCCUUACGUCCGGGGCGACACACGUGUUACAAUGGCAGGUACAGAAGGCAGCCAGUCAGCAAUGACGCGCGAAUCCCGAAAACCUGUCUCAGUUCGGAUUGGAGUCUGCAACCCGACUCCAUGAAGCUGGAUUCGCUAGUAAUCGCGCAUCAGCCAUGGCGCGGUGAAUACGUUCCCGGGCCUUGUACACACCGCCCGUCAAGCCAUGGAAGCUGGGGGUGCCUGAAGUUCGUGACCGCAAGGAGCGACCUAGGGCAAAACCGGUAACUGGGGCUAAGUCGUAACAAGGUAGCCGUACCGGAAGGUGCGGCUG